GGGCGUCGGUUGGACGGCGCGAGGACGCGGUGCACACGCGCUGUGCCGGCGGGGCCAGUGCGCAGGCGCGAAGGUGACGAGCGGAGAGCGGAGCUAUGGCACCCCCUGCUGGCCGCGCCAGGUUCGGCUCCGGCCUCCUCACUCGCCGCGCCCGGAGGGCACGGCCCUGCAGCUGACACGACCGCCGUCCACUCACAGCAGUCCGGGACUAACGUGGGGUGUUCUCUGUCUCCAUAGUGCUCAGGGAGCUCGUGGAGGGGCUGUGAGGGGAGGAUUAUGCAGGCAGUGCCAGAGCAGUGAAAGCGACUGUGGCAACCGGAGCCUGCCCCGCCGUUAACAGUUGGCUACCCAUCCCUCUCCAAGACCACGGGGAAGAUUAUGCAGCACUUGGGGUCGAUAACGUCGCUGGGCAAAGGGCACUUUCUCCUGACAGCACCGAGAAACCUGGCCGGGCUUACCAGGCGGUAGAAGCCGCCUUCUCUGGGCCCAGCAGUCAGAAGGGCUGAUCUGCUGAGGAGCAGCAGGUGGAAACCGGACAGCGGAUACUGAUACCGCCGCAGUACUUAGAACCCAGCUCCGGUAGAACUACCGCCCGGCCCCGCGGCCGCACGGGCUGACACUGGCCCCCGGGGAUCUGCCUGCCAGCUGGUGAUAGGCUAUCCAGAACGACUCUCAAGGCACCUCCUUUUCUGAUUGGUUUAAUGUGUCCCGCAGGGCGUUAUUAGAGUUGUGGUUCUGUUCUCGCCCGGUCAUUGCGGCACUGUGCGGGCACGUACUACGCUUCCCGUCAGGCUUUGCAGGGAGAGCGUAACUGCGUUGCUCGGGGUCUGCUUAUCCGGGUCCUCAAGCGGUCCAGCUAAUCAGCGCGCGUCAAGGGCGUGCGCCAGGCGCUGAUUGGUGGGUUUGGACGGCCGAGCCCCGUUUGAAAUCCGUUAACGGCGGUGGCGUAGGCGCCGCGCGGAGUGGCGGUGGCGCUCCUGAGGCCUGUAGCCCUGCAGGCAGAGGACUCGUGGUGACAGUGUGACUGUGAAGAUGUCUAAGCCAGAAUCCCGUUAUUCUUUUGAUGUCCCAAACAUCUGCAUCGAUUUUGCAACUCUGAAUGAGGAUGAUGUACACAAUGCUGACUCCUGGUUUGACCAAAAAGCCAAUCUGGAGAAUGUCCCUCCUGCAGAAAAUCUGAUCUCACACUGCAGCCCUGCUUUAUCAAAGCCUGAUGUUACUCUGUCUUCUGUCCCGUUACAAGAAGUAGUGAUGAAUGAGCUGACGCUUGCCCCUUUCUCAGGUGAAAGCGAUAAUGGAGCAGAAUGUGACCAGGACAAUGUGGUCCCUGAGAAUAUCGUUGGGUCCCUGGCAACCUGGAGAGCUGCUGCCCCUGCAGAGGCCCCUCAGAGACCGGGCAGGAGACUGGCUACAAAGCAGGGGAAGACCCAGCAGCGCAAGCAGCCAGGCAGAAUCAAGGCAGAGAGAAUUGCUAAUGCCCUGGAUAAUAAGGAAGAUGUUCCACCCUUGAAGAAAAUGAGAAUUUCUGGUAGCAGAGAGAAGGUGACUGAGGCAUCCACAAAGAGAGAGCCCCUGCAGGAUCCUGACCUCUCCCCAGAGAAAGGGAAAAGCAAACUGACCAUGCCCUCCACACCAACCAUGUUGAAGAGGACCAAACCUUCUAGCAAGCCAAAGAGUACAGAGGAGCAGGAGCUGGAAAAGAUGCAGCAGUUGCAGCAGGAGGUUAUGGAGCUGCGGAAGAAGAAUGAGGAGUCUCUGAAAGCAGCUAUUGCUGGAGCAGGACAACCCGUGAAGAGACCUGUUAGUCAAAAAACAAAGCCAGUUGAUUUCCACUUCUGCACGGAGAAUAGAAUUAAACAGAACGUGGAAAGCCGGCCUGGGAACGAGUACAAGGAGGUGGAUUUUGCAGCAAUACUGAGGAAGCAUCCCCCUUCUCCGGUGCGAAUGCCAAAGGGACACACUGUCCCCAAACCUUUCAAUCUGUCCCAGGGAAACAAAAGAAAACUUGAAGAACCCACAGCAGAAUAUGUAUCCUUUGCUGAGCAGGUAGAAGCAUUCCAAAAACGCACACCCCCUCGUUACCAUUUGAGGAGCAGGAAAUCUGAGGAAGGCUCAGUUUCAAGAAAGCCAGUGAAGGCUCGGUUCACAGAAGCCAAAACUCCAGUGCUGCGAACAAAGCAGCGCUUGAGACCUGUCACCUGCAAGACUGCUGCAGAGUUGGAAGCAGAGGAAAUAGAGAAAAUUCAACAGUACAAAUUCAAAGCACGAGAAGUUAAUUACAAAAUCUUUGAGGGUGGGCCACUCUUGCCCAAGAAACCCCCUGCGAAGGAGCUCACCCAACCCAUUGGCUUUCAGUUGGAAAUAGAAAAAAGGAUUCAGGAGCGUGAGAGUAAGAAGCAGCAGGAGGAAGAGCGCUACGAAUUCCAUUCCAGGCCAUGUCCCACAAAAAUCCUGGAGGAUGUUGUGGGUGUUCCAGAGAAGAAGGCACUUCCUGUUACAGUCCCCAAGUCUCCAGCGUUCACUGUGAGAAGCAGAACCCGUGUGUCUGGCAGAGAGGAAGAAAAGGAGAAAGAGGAGGUGACUGUGAUCAAAGCUAAUCCUAUGCCACAUUAUGGGGUGCCCUUCAAACCCAAAAUGCCAGAGCAGAGGCACGUGGAAGUUUGCCCCUUCUCUUUUGAUGCCCGGGACAGAGAGCGACAAAUACAAAAAGAGAAAAAAAUAGAAGAACUACAGAAGGAAGAGGUACCAAAGUUCAAAGCACUGCCUCUGCCUUACUUUGACCAAGUUAAACUGCCAGAAAAGAAGGUCAAAAGCACAACUCAGCCUGAACCAUUCCAUCUGCAGGUGGAUGAACGGGGAGCUGCCAAGCUCCAGAGCUGGAAACAGCAGCUUAAAGAAGACUUGAAAAGGCAGAAAGAGGCAGCAUGCUUUAAAGCUCGUCCCAACAUAGUGAUGUACCAGGAGCCUUUUGUGCCCAAAAAGGAACACAAGAUGCUAUCAGAGAGCCUUUCUGGUUCUGUAGUUCCUGAAAGCUUUGAGCUGGCAACAGAAAGAAGAGCAAAAGAACGGCAAGAAUUUGAAAAGCAAUUGGCAGAUGCAGAAGCCUUAAGGGAGAAGUAUGAGGAGCAGAUCAGGCAGCAGCAAGAGGAGCGUGAAAAGGAAGAAAUUGCUAAGCUAAGACAAGAAAUGGUUCACAAGGCAAAUCCAAUACGCAAAUACCGCAGUGUGGAAGUGAAGUCCAGUGAUCAACCACUGACUACGCCAAAGUCUCCCAAGUUCUCAGACAGAUUCCGAUGCUGAUGGGCAUCCACAUCAUAACUGGAGGGAGAUCCUGUCCCUCUCCACUCCCUUGGAGUGCCUGGAGCACAAGGGACACAUCAGCAUUCUCUUCUUGAAAACACAAAUUUGUGUGGAUCUGACCUGUCUGCCUUAACCCCCAUUCUGUCAUGGUGGAGCUGUUCCCUUGUGAUCUGCUACUGGAUGGGGACAUCACAGAACUUCAGAUGGGCUGUCAAAGAGCCCUUGCUUUUUCCUCGAGUGCCAGCUCUGGAGAAGGGAGCAUGUGGGCAGCAGAAGCAGCAAAUAUUGAUGAUGAGUCAGGGGAAGCUGGCAUGAUGAUGAGCUGCUGAAGAAUGUGAAGGCAUGCAGGAUCAUGAGGCCGUGGAACUAGAGCAGCCACUGAUCCCUGAAGGAUGAAGCAGCUGGAUUUUCCUGAUGGCCCUACAUGGCCUCUUCUGCCUUGAGGAAGGGGUUGUGUGCCUGACAGCUUGGCAGUAUCUUUUCCCCAAUGGUAUCAUUUGGAUCUAAUAAAAGAUAUUACAUCUUCCCCCAAAUAUGGCCUCUUCUAUUCCCCAUAUACUGCAAACAGGGGCAGGAGCCUCAGACAGCUGUGCCUCCAAGGGUCUGGGGUGUUUGUAUGAGCUUGGAUUCACCCACUAGGUUCUCACGGGCUGGGCUGUGGGACCUGUUCUCUUAACCAGGAGGGAAGUGGUGACAUGGUGGGAAAAUUGCUCUAGUGUGCAAAAUGUAAAAAUCAUGUCUUGAAGGAGCUGGAUGUUAGAGAGGAUGGGAUUUGGCCAAGGCUUCAGCAGGGAAAUGGUGGGUGAUUUUUCUGGUGCUUGGGAGACCAAAUUUACAGGAUGGAAUGGGAGUAAGAGACUGGUA